UUGCCCUUUCGGUACAGAGAGGGCCCGAUAUGGCCUUCGCACCCUCCCGUUAUCUUCUCUCCAACUACUGCGCCCCUUUCUCUCCUCUCUUUUAUUCUUCCCCCAUUCAACCUUAAGCAUAGUUCCGCUCCACUUCUUGCCCUGGCCGUAAUCCCUUAAAUUCGGAAUUUAUCGAGCGCCGGGAUUUAAGGUGCGCACAAAAACCGUUUGGCAGGAUUUAGCGAAAUCCCGCUUAAAUCCGGUUGUAAAUCCGAUACCAAACAGCCCCUUAACAUCUCCCUUAUUCGCUUCUUUUAGCCUUUCAUGCAUUGCCCCUGCGAUGCUCUCGCUGCGGGAUUUGGUCUCCUACGGCUCCACCGUAGAAUGCCCCUGCAAAUUGGGUAGUGAAUGUUCCGGUGGAAUCGUUUGGCAUAGCCACUGGAGGCGGCGGAGGAGAUUACUCCUCGGUUUUCUAUCCGGUGAUGCUUACAUAAGGAAUUGGAGAUGCUUGUUAGUGUGCCGGAAAGCUUGGAAUUCGAGCUUUAGUUUUGCCCAUCCCGUGCUCUUAAGCUCGGCGAGGAGGAGCUCCAGGACACCGAGGCUGUUGGUCGCCAAGAAAUACUCCGAAGAGGUUGGCGGAGCUGGUGGCUACCGGGAGGAUGCAGCGGUAGCUGGCUCCGAGCUUGUGCAGAUGGAUUCGGCCAAUUUUACGAGUUAUCCUGAGGAUCCUCUCGUGAACAAGCUGAGAUCGCAGCUUGGGGUCAUCCAUCCAAUCCCUUCGCCUCCCAUCAAUAGAAAUAUUGUGGGUUUCUUCGUGCUAUUCUUUUUCAUCGGGGUUGUGUUUGAUAAGCUGUGGACCUCAAGGAGGUCGAGUAAAUCGGCUCGGGAAUCUCGAGCAGGGACUUGGCCGCAGGUGCCAACCAGCUUCUCCAUGUUUCUUGAGAAGGAUCUACAGAGGAAAGAGUCUGUGGAGUGGGUUAAUAUGGUGUUGGGAAAGCUGUGGAAAGUUUAUCGGCCUGGUAUUGAGAAUUGGAUCAUGGGGCUUCUUCAGCCUGUGAUUGAUAAUCUCCGGAAGCCUGGUUAUGUGCAGAGGGUGGAAAUUAAACAGUUUUCACUAGGCGAUGAGCCUUUGUCGGUUAGGAAUGUGGAGCGGAGGACUUCUAGGCGUGUCAAUGAUUUGCAGUACCAUAUUGGCCUUCGUUAUACUGGUGGAGCUCGCAUGUUGCUCUCCUUAUCCUUAAAGUUUGGUAUAAUCCCCAUUGUUGUUCCUGUUGGUGUUCGUGAUUUUGAUAUUGAUGGGGAACUAUGGGUUAAACUACGAUUAAUACCAACUGAACCGUAUAUUGGUGCUGUAUCAUGGGCUUUUGUUUCCUUGCCAAAGAUUAAGAUCGAGUUGUCGCCAUUUCGUCUGUUCAACCUUAUGGGAGUACCUGUUGUUUCAAUGUUUCUGAGAAAGCUUCUUACAGAAGAUUUGCCUAGACUUUUUGUUCGUCCAAGAAAGAUUGUGCUUGAUUUCCAAAAGGGUAAAGCUCUUGGCCCUAUUACAGAUAACUUUAAAGCCGAUACAACUGAAGAAGGAAACAAAGAGUUUGUUGGGGAGUUAUCUGUGACUCUUGUUGAUGCUCGCAAACUUGCUUUUGUGAGAAUUGGUAAGACAGAUCCAUAUGUUGUUCUAAAACUAGGCGAUCAAGUGAUUCGAAGUAAAAAGAACAGCCAAACAACUGUCAUUGGGCCACCAGGAGAGCCAAUCUGGAAUCAAGAUUUUCUCCUAUUUGUUUUGAACCCUAGAAAACAGAGAUUACAAAUUGAAGUUAUAGAUUCUUUUGGUUUCAGUUAUUUCACUCUCGGGGCAGGGGAGGUUGAGCUUGGAUCCCUUCAAGAUACUGUACCAUCUGAUAGGAUUGUAACUCUGAAAGGUGGUUGGAGAAAUUUUGGAAGGCAGUCAUCGGGGGAGAUAUUACUUCGUUUGACAUAUAAGGCAUAUGUUGAGGAUGAAGAAGAUGAUUGGGUAGAAAGAGAAGUUGAAAGCGAUUCAUCUGAUGAUGAGGCCUUAGAUUAUGAUCAAGCUAGUGACUUUUCUGGAGAGCGUGAAAGCAGUCCUAAUUAUGCAAGGGAAAGAGAGUCUUUUAUGAAUGUCUUGGCUGAUUUGCUUGUGAGUGAGGAAUUUCAGGGCAUUGUGACAUCUGAAACGGGUCAUCCCAAAGCAUCUGAUGAAUCAUAUUACCCUGGAUCGAUGGCUUUAAGAGAGCGUGUCCGCAAUGCUGAUAGUCCUCCUGUUAAGCCAGCAACUGCCCUGGUAGAAUCCAAUGGUUUGGCUCUAGCAUGGCUUGCUGCUAUAACAAGUAUAGCAUUAUUGAUUGCUUUUAAUGUGGGCGGUUCUGGUUUCUUCAAUCCAUAGUUUAACAUGGAGAAAUGAGGUUGAAUCAGGUUUUUGCACACUUACAGCUCUUUCAUUCAAGGUUGGUUCUGAAUUCUCAACUUUUAGAAUUGAGAGAGUCGGGUACCUCAGGGUCAGGAGCAGUUUUGUUUUAUGAUUGAUCCGUGUAUAAUUUAGAAAGGUUUAAGUUAUAAUUCGGGACUUGUAUGCUGCAAUUCAGUGGAACGUGCUCUUUGCAUUGUUAAUAUUCUUCAUGUUGUCAUUAGUUUCUCUUCUUCAUUUAUUAAAAUCAUUGUAUUUAUAACAUUUGUUCAAAUAUAGCAGCAGAGGAAAAUCUUACCGGUAUUAUCAGCAGAUGCUAGUAUCUCCAUUUUCCGGUACUAGCUUUGGAUCUGCAUGUUCGCUGAACUUCUAACGUGAAGGGGGAUAAAACGGCCGACUCUCUUUUUUGGCGCCUUGGCACUUCCAUUUCUACUUCAUAAAUGUAGAAAAUAUUGGCGAUUUUUCUGAUGUAUUAUAAAGUUGUUACUGUUUUGUUAGUUGUUUUUUAUUCUUUUCGCCUUGCUAUGAGCAAAUGGUGGUUAUACUGUUAUAUUUAUACAACAUCUUUGGGAAAUUUCACUGUCUGCUUAUGCUAAUGGAAAUUGAAAAAAUAA